CGUCCGCCGUACACACGAGUGUUGGGUGUGUGUGCGUCGCCACAAUUAGUGCGGAGUGCGCCGGAGUCAAGUGGGAGCAAUCACUGCUAGCUAGCUACGCACACUCCCCGUUUCAGUCCUAUACAACAUGCCAGUGUCACGGUUUUCGAGCGCAAGGCUGACCAAUAACAUCAGAACGACAUAAUACUUACUACGCACCUGCACCCAAAUUAUCCUGACGAGCGACGAGACGCGGGAGACGAGGCCCGGUGGAGGAGUGACACACCUGCAGAAACAGGAGACGGUGUCGUCGAUGUCGGGCGGCGUGGGGGGCGAGGGCGGCACGCUCCGGUACUUGACGUGCAGCACGCGGCGGGCGGCCCGGACCCCGCUGCGACGCAAGAUGCCCACGGGCCAGCGCCGGCCGGAGCCUUCCUCGCCGCCCUCGGCCUCGCUCAUGCUGUACGGUCGCGCCUUCAGCACCAUGCACGACACUCACGCCGAGUCACUGUCGAGGCUCGAGACAGUGUUGCGCGACCUUGCACACACAAUCGCAAAAACGGCGCUCGCGUUUGCGCGCCGCGGACGACUGACGACGACGGCAGCGGCGGCGGGAGGACGCGUCGGCGCCGCCUGCGCGGUGACAUCACGCUUUAUCAGCUCAGCAAAAUUCGAAGCUGGAUUAUGAAUCUCAAUUCACACUUAGAAUUAAAAGGAUUGUUUCUGAUUUCAAGAGAGCUGAAGAUAGACCCAAUAACAAACUGAUAUUUGAGUGAGUAUGGCAUGCUUUAAUGGGAUGAUAUUUUGGCCUAAAUUUUCCAUAAGAUUGGCAGUGAUGAAUAUUGUCAUUGUUAAACGUACAUAUUUUAACCUGUACCUGGUUAGUUACUAAUGAAACCAUAUUGUCGUAAUGCUAAUAUGCUGUAUAAACUAAAGUAAAUUGCAAUGAUACAUGAUUCAUGUAGUAAAAAGAGCAACAUUUUCCUUGUAACAAUAUUUAAGGCAUACCACAAUAUGUUAUAUACACAUAGAUAAGUAAUGUUAGCUGUGAAAAAGAAAAGGAUUUAUUCAAAAAAAUUAUAAGUUUAAUUUGAAUACCAAAUUUGCAUAAAGCAGAAUAACAGUAAGUAUAUAAUUUGAGUCAUGAAUUUAUUUUUAUAAAAUUAUGACUUACAUAAGCUAAAAGAAAGACAUUGUUUAUCAAAUAUAUUGAUUGGAGUAAGAUGGGCCUGUUUCACCUACAUCCAGUUUUAUUGUGACUGGUUCACAUUUCCUAAAUUUUAAAGUAUAAUAUUUUAAAUCUUCUAACUAGUACUCAUAUUACUGCUAUGAUAUUUUGUUUUUUCUACAAAAAUAGUAUACAUUCCGUUAUAAUUAGGAAAAGAUGAAUGUAAGAUUAGCCAAAGCAUAUUUUUCGUUAUAGUUGAAUAAUGUUAAUCUUCAGGAAUAAAUAUUGGAAUAUCCAUAGUAUAUAAUGUUCCAAAUCAGUAAUAGCCCCAAGUGUCAGCAGCUCACUAACAACCUGCCUAUUGAUCCUGCGAAUCACUCACACAUUCAAGUUUUAAGGAUGGAAAAGUUGUUAUAGAGGAUUGAUAUUUCAACUGCAUGUUCAAGCGAGGUGGCGAGAUCCUUGUUGUGAAAUCUUAUGAUCUCCACUAACCACUUCAUAGAAGGUGGGCCAUAGCUUUGUCUACAACUUGUAUCUUAUCACCAAAUCUAAAUGUUCCCAUUUCAGCAAACAUGCCCUAUAAUUAUACCUUAACUAUAUUUACCUAAAAGUAAGUAGACCUGAAUGUUAUCAGAAUUUAGUGUUAUUUAAUGACACAUCUACAUAACAUUAUAAGUACCUACUGAAAUGCACUAAGAAAUAGAAAUUCGAAACAAAUGUACUCACCCCAUGAACCAGUCGACGGUGUCACGCAGAUAUUCCGGUAGUCGCUCCAGCUUGGUAGAUUUAUAUCACUUUUCUCUCCAAACAAUUAACCAAAUAUGUAAUUGGUUGUACUAGUCCGCGCCUUAGCCGCUAACAAUCACAGACUGUAACAUCACACUUUACUGCUUUAAUCGACGCAUCAAAUCUAACUGUAUUCGUCCGAGGAGCUCAGAUCUGAAGUUAACUAGACCGUGUCGCAGUCACAAAACCCUAUCAAUACCUUUUUAUCACAACUCUAGCCGCAGCAGCUGGUCUGAGUUCGCCAUGUUGCGCAACUCUUAUUCCUAUUUUUAAUUCUUAAAUUGAAAUGAUUCAUUAGGCAAGUUCUCUACAAGCUGUCAAUCUAGAUGUAAAUGUCCUUUUUUAAAUUUAAACACAACAGAUUUCUUUUAAUCUCAUAAACAAGCAUCGUUUCCGACUUAUUCCGAAAAAAACCAUAAAUCAACGAAAAAGUCAUAACAAAUACCGUUACUCAGCCUUCCGUCAAAUUCAAUGAUUUUUUUAUUUCAACCAACCAAAUGACAAGCAAAGGAAAUAUACUCCAUAUAUUUUCGUAACAAAAGCCAUGACAGCUAAAAAUUAAAGUAGAUUUUGUUUAUUUAAUUUAUUUAUUUAAGCGGAAAAUAAGUAAAAAAAAGAAGUGAAUUAGAAUCUUAUAAUUUUCUCGUUUCCACGUGCAAUGCUUUCUCAAAAUAUUGUUUUUUCAUCAUUUAAAUUUACUAAAAGUAAUUUGACGAUUUCAUUUUCUUUAAUAAACCCAGAAUUCGGAGUGCAAUUUCAAUAGGAGAGUUCGAUCAGGAAUUUCUUUCGUUCUCGUUACAAGAAACUUUAAUUAACCGAUUCUCAUUAACGAUGGUUAGAAGGAAACAAAAUAGCAUAAAGAGCCGAUAAUAAAAUUAUAUUACAGUAAAUUUAACUAAAACGGACCUGAACUGAAGUAAAAUGAACAGGGACAUUACAAGAAUGGAUACUUAAACAACGUUAAAAGUCUUCAUAAUAUCUUAGCAAAGAUUAUAUAUAACAAAGACUAAAUGAAUUUUUGUGAUUAUAUAGGAAUCGGCACGAGUCGUGAGCUCUACGUGUAACUAUACUUCAGACUUUGGAACUUAUAUCUCAAGGUGGGUGGCGCAUUUACGUUGUAGAUGUCUAUGGGCUCCAGUAACCACUUAGCACCAGUUGAGCUGUCGGCUCGUCCAACCAUCUAAACUGACCUUUAUAUGCGCAGAAACGCAUUUUUGGGUCUGUUUUAUUUUAUUUUUUUAUUGCUUCGAUGGGUGGCCGAGCGAAUACUAUUUGAAACUUUUUAAUAAUAGUCGGUUUUUUUGUUUUUUGUCUUUGAAUAGAUCAUAAAUCGUAUGAAAAGAUAACUUAAGGAAUCGUUUAUAAGUCCCAUAGUUCUUAUCUAAAGUAGGUGUAAGAUUCUAUUAUAAUUUUUAUUUUUAUUGCUCUAAUAGCUUAUCAAUUAAAAAUAGGUUUAGGUAUCUAUAUUAUUCAAAUGAUUUCUCUGGCACCAGAGAAAUCAAUGAAAAUCGUCUAAAAUCUAAAACUUAAUAAUAUAAAUUCGAGAAUUUCUUCCAUAUCCGUCAUCAUAUUAUUAUGGGAAAAGCAAAUUAUCGGUAAAAACUCGACAGCAUACCUGUUCUAGUUAAAAAACGGGAUUUGAUAACGUUUUGGAAGUCAGUUAAUAUUAGGGUUCUUUCUAACUAUAAUAUUAGCAAAACCCCGGGCAACAUUAUUAUAAAAUUACUAAUACAUUUUUAAGUCCCAAAUUGAACGGAAUUAACUCAAUUAUAAAAAAUUCUAAUAAGUACCGUAAAAUGGGGCGAUUAGGGAUUGAGAGGGGAAUCGGGAAAAAACCGGGAAAAUCUUUCGACGCUCAAUAUAAGUUUUAUAUUCGUUGCAAAAUCUUCCAUUUUUUGUAGUUUAAUAGUAGAAUGUUGAAAGUUCAGAAAACAACUCUGAAUAUGCAUGAUAAUAGCUGCUAACUUAUAAAAAAUCGCGUUUCAAUUUAACUUCCUGUGGUGGUAAGUAUUUUAGUGUUAGAAACUUUGCUCUCUUUUAUUUAUUUGAUAAUAAUAGAAGACGACUAUGAUUUAUAAACGUUAUUUAGUGUUUGAACCAGCAUAUAUAUUAAAGGUAAGUCUCAGUUGUUAUUGGUUUUAAUGUAUUUGAUUAAAUAAAAAUACAUGUAAAAAUCUGUUGUUUUUGGGGAUAUUGGGGACGUCUUAGGUAUAAAUAACAACGAAAAAGGGGUCAAUUGGGAUGAGAAUACGUGAAAUGGAAACGACCUAAGUAUAAAUAGGUACAGGUUUGUAGGGUUGUCUAUGUAGUUAUAACAAUAUUUUUUUAAAUUUGUUGGUAAAAAUCUGGUUUAUUCAUGAUGUUUUUGUCUAGAACUUUUAUUUAAAAUUUUCAAUGUGUUAUUUUAUUGCUUGGUAAAUAUUUAUAUUAUCAGCGUGUACGUAUCAAAGAGUGCAAAGCCUUGAGAUAUGAUCCCUUAAUAUUAAAAACAGCAAUAGAAGCCUAUGAAAUUGGGAAUAAGUCUUUAGUUGAAAUAGAUAAGCAAUUUAAUAUAAGUAAGUCGAUUUUGCACAGACAUGUAACAAGAACAAUGAAAUCUCAAGGUGGACAAAAAUGUCUAAGUAAUACAUAAUAAAAUAUUUAAUAUUUGUUCAGAGUGGGGGUAUUCAUCUGAUUAAUCAAUGGAAUAACCGACACACCUAAUCUCUUAACCCAGAUAGAAAUAUCAGCACCUAAGUAUUUACCAAGAACGGAGAAAUAUAAACCGUUUCUAAGAAAGCUCACUAUAUAUAUAUUUUGUUGUUAAUGCACUGUCGAUUGCACCUAUAAUUGAGGUGACAUCUACCAUGUACUUUUGUCAGUUUUUCAAUAUUUUUUUAUUGAUGAUCACUUUGUUGGUGCAACUAAAUAAAUAAAUAAAUUAAAACUAUAUAUAAAAAUAAAAGUAGUGCCAACCUUAGCAAAUUUCUCAUUUCGUCCCAAUUAACCGCAAUUUCCGGGUAAAUAGGGAUUACACCUAUUUUUGCAUUUUUUGCUUAAACUGGAAUGCUAGUUGCAUAAUUUUAAAUUGGACAAGAAAGAUGCCCCCAAGACUCAAUCAUUUUGAUCCUGAUAUAGCAUUAUAUACAUCAACAACUACCUUAAAAUUGCUCAUAAAGUUGGAAUUUGUCCCUAAUCGCCCAAUUUUACCGGUACAUGAGUGAUCCAUUUAACUUUACCGUAAGUGUACGAUGCGCAUUCCCCCACUAUUUUGUCAAGAACUCACGACUCAUACCGAUUGCUACACCAAAAAUUUAUACUUUCAAGUGUUCAAAUAUUAAGUGUACAAUCUAUGUCUUACAUUUCUUACAUAUGGUACUGAAUUUUGUAGCGGGAACGCGAGGAGUGAAGUUGUGUGAUUUGUUUUAUUUUGUGUAUUUAGUGUUUCUUCAGGUUGAAACGUGUAAUAACGGUGGUUUAUUAACUGUUUAAUGUGUGGCGUUUAUGAACGCACAUUUUUAUGAUGCGUAAGCCAGAACGCACGAGAUGUGGGAAAAAGAAUAUAGUCUGUGACACGGGACCUUUUUACCGCCAAAUAUUUAAAACGUAAAAAAUAAUUUAUAAUGUGUUUAAUAACUAAUGUAAUAUAAUUACUUAGAAUUGUUUAUGCCGCUACAACAAUAAAAUUUAUAUUGUUUCAACUGUGGUGUUAAUUAUAUAAAACACGACUUUAAGGCGAAAUAAAGAAGGGACUCUCUCUAUAUGAGCUCCCUCAAAUGUAUGUCUGUGAAAGUGCACAAAUGUGGGAAAAUGAAACAAAGCUGCUGGACGUAGCUUCUCGGGAUCCUCCAAAAAGUCCACUGAAAAAAUCUCAGUAAAUAACCACCAUUUUACUGAUAUUAUUUUUCAUCCAAUAUCGUCUAUUUUCAUUUAGUUUCAUCCCAGUUGAUUAAUGUCUCAAAUUAAUCAUCUUCAUUUCAUUUCAUUUCACUCUGUAUUAUAAUUUUUAAUAAAUUUUUCAUAAAAAUAAGAAUUAAAACUAAAGACUUAAUAAAUAAUAAUAAUAAAUAUUUACUAACAAUCACACCUGACAUGACUUAAAGGUCUUAGAUACCAGGUCAUAAAAUCCCUUAAAAAAAACAUAUGGUACUUAGGUACUUAUUUAUUUCCAUUUAUUCUCUAAUGCAAUAUAGAUAAAAUUGAAAAAUAAUUGUUUCUAGCAAAUUAGUUAAUCGCAAAAAUGUUCAGAUUGCCCUUUGGAGAAAGAGUAGAUCCGAUGGAAGAAAAACGUCAAGCACGCGAGAACACUAUCAAUAGCGUAAUAACGUUUGGAAUAAUGUGUGCAAUUAUAAGAAUCGCUCCCUUGGUACUGGAACAUGGUAGUUUUCAGUAGGCAGAUAGUGCAGUGUGCAGUGACAUGAUCAAUAUUCCACAAGAAUGAGUUCCUACAAAGAAGCAACAAUAGUAGUAGAAACAGUUUAAAUGUUAUUAUUUGAAGAAAAAAUAUUUUUUACAUACAA